GUUUUUUUCAAGAUACGGAAAGGAUCGAUUUCCUCCUUCCUUUUCUCCAUGAUUGACAUAUUUUUUAAUACGUGGAACGUACCUGCAGAAGGAGCAGUCCCCGCAUGGAGCUGAUCCAUGGUAUCUCUCAACUCUCCUGCCACGUUUGGCUCCUUCUUCCAUGAGCUCGAUUGUACGCAUUUCUCAAGGAUCUUUUGGGGUAACCCCUCUUUCUGAACCUUUGAAGCAGUUGUUGACUCUCCCGAGAAAAGGAGGCUUCAUCCGAGCAGUUACGACGUGCUCUUAAAUAUUGGCCUAUAGGAAUGCCUUUCUUAAGGGAAACUGGAUGCCAACUGUUCCAAUGCAGGGUUUCUAGGGCUUCUUGUUCCUGAGUGUUCAAAUUUGGUUCGAUAUGUUCCUUCCUCAUCUGUAAUGAUUUGAUGUCCUGUGUGACCAGCUGUACAAAGAGCCAGUUUCCGUGCGAAGAGGUUCACAUCUUUAAUCCAAAGGAAUUUAUCACAUUGGGGGACCGGGGCAAAGGUCAAGGAAUUCUGGGUGUGGGGUGAACUCCUGUAUUUCUUGGAUCUCCUUCUCGAGCUGUUGGUCGAUUUUAUUAAAGAAAACUUUUUCGUAUUCAGACAGAUAUU